rnacentral:rRNA from 1 species
GCUGGAUUCGCUAGUAAUCGCGCAUCAGCCACGGCGCGGUGAAUACGUUCCCGGGCCUUGUACACACCGCCCGUCAAGCCAUGGAAGCCGGGAGUGCCUGAAGUGCGUGACCGCAAGGAGCGUCCUAAGGCAAUACCGGUGACUGGGGCUAAGUCGUAACAAGGUAUC